GCGAACGCUGGCGGCAGGCCUAACACAUGCAAGUCGAACGGACCUUUCGGGGUUAGUGGCGGACGGGUGAGUAACACGUGGGAACGUGCCUUUUGGUUCGGAACAACUCAGGGAAACUUGAGCUAAAUACCGGAUGUGCCCUUCGGGGGAAAGGAUUUAUCGCCAUUAGAGCGGCCCGCGUCUGAUUAGCUUGUUGGUGAGGUAAAGGACUCACCAAGGCGACGAUCAGUAGCUGGUCUGAGAGGAUGAUCAGCCACAUUGGGACUGAGACACGGCCCAAACUCCUACGGGAGGCAGCAGUGGGGAAUCUUGCGCAAUGGGCGAAAGCCUGACGCAGCCAUGCCGCGUGAAUGAUGAAGGUCUUAGGAUUGUAAAAUUCUUUCACCGGGGACGAUAAUGACGGUACCCGGAGAAGAAG
rnacentral:rRNA from 1 species